rnacentral:rRNA from 1 species
GACGAACGCUGGCGGCGUGCCUAAUACAUGCAAGUCGAACGAGAGCGACCGGUGCUUGCACUGGUCAAUCUAGUGGCGCACGGGUGAGUAACACGUGGGUACCCUGCCCAUCAGAGGGGGAUAACAUCCGGAAACGGAUGCUAAAACCGCAUAGGUCUUCGAACCGCAUGGCUUGAAGGGGAAAAGAGGCGCAAGCUUCUGCUGCUGGAUGGACCCGCGGUGCAUUAGCUAGUUGGUGAGGUAACGGCUCAACAAGGCCGUGAUGCAUAGCCGACCUGAGAGGGUGAUCGGCCACAUUGGGACUGAGACACGGCCCAAACUCCUACGGGAGGCAGCAGUAGGGAAUCUUCCGCAAUGGACGGAAGUCUGACGGAACAAAGCCGCGUGAGUGAAGAAGGUUUUCGGAGCGGAAAACUCUGUUGUUAGGGAAGAACAAGUGCUAGAGUAACUGUUGGGGCCAUGACGGUAACUAAACAGAAAGCCACGGCUAACUACGUG